rnacentral:rRNA from 1 species
UAGGGAAUCUUGCGCAAUGGGCGAAAGCCUGACGCAGCCAUGCCGCGUGAAUGAUGAAGGUCUUAGGAUUGUAAAAUUCUUUCACCGGGGAAGAUAAUGACGGUACCCGGAGAAGAAGCCCCGGCUAACUUCGUGCCAGCAGCCGCGGUAAUACGAAGGGGGCUAGCGUUGCUCGGAAUUACUGGGCGUAAAGGGCGCGUAGGCGGGUAUUUAAGUUGGGGGUGAAAGCCCGGGGCUCAACCUCGGAAUAGCCUUCAAUACUGGAUAUCUUGAGUUCGGGAGAGGUGAGUGGAAUGCCGAGUGUAGAGGUGAAAUUCGUAGAUAUUCGGCGGAACACCAGUGGCGAAGGCGACUCACUGGCCCGAUACUGACGCUGAGGCGCGAAAGCGUGGGGAGCAAACAGGAUUAGAUACCCUGGUAGUCCACGCCGUAAACGAUGAGUGCUAGUUGUCGGCAUGCAUGCAUGUCGGUGACGCAGCUAACGCAUUAAGCACUCCGCCUGGGGAGUACGGUCGCAAGAUUAAAAACUCAAAGGAAUUGACGGGGGUCAUAGCUGUUUCCUG